CCAACGGCCCUCUUUAGGGCCACAAGUUCAUAAAUCAGGCGUUG
rfam:Syphacia muris strain Valencia genome assembly, scaffold: SMTV_scaffold0001388